UGGGCGUAAGAGCUCGUAGGCGGUUUGUCGCGUCUGCCGUGAAAGUCCGGGGCUCAACUCCGGAUCUGCGGUGGGUACGGGCAGACUAGAGUGAUGUAGGGGAGACUGGAAUUCCUGGUGUAGCGGUGAAAUGCGCAGAUAUCAGGAGGAACACCGAUGGCGAAGGCAGGUCUCUGGGCAUUAACUGACGCUGAGGAGCGAAAGCAUGGGGAGCGAACAGGAUUAGAUACCCUGGUAGUCCAUGCCGUAAACGUUGGGCACUAGGUGUGGGGGACAUUCCACGUUUUCCGCGCCGUAGCUAACGCAUUAAGUGCCCCGCCUGGGGAGUACGGCCGCAAGGCUAAAACUCAAAGGAAUUGACGGGGGCCCGCACAAGCGGCGGAGCAUGCGGAUUAAUUCGAUGCAACGCGAAGAACCUUACCAAGGCUUGACAUGAACCGGUAAUACCUGGAGACAGGUGCCCCGCUUGCGGUCGGUUUACAGGUGGUGCAUGGUUGUCGUCAGCUCGUGUCGUGAGAUGUUGGGUUAAGUCCCGCAACGAGCGCAACCCUCGUUCUAUGUUGCCAGCACGUGAUGGUGGGGACUCAUAGGAGACUGCCGGGGUCAACUCGGAGGAAGGUGGGACGACGUCAAAUCAUCAUGCCCCUUAUGUCUUGGGCUUCACGCAUGCUACAAUGGCCGGUACAAAGGGUUGCGAUACUGUGAGGUGGAGCUAAUCCCAAAAAGCCGGUCUCAGUUCGGAUUGGGGUCUGCAACUCGACCCCAUGAAGUCGGAGUCGCUAGUAAUCGCAGAUCAGCAACGCUGCGGUGAAUACGUUUCCCGGGCCUUGUACACACCGCCCGUCAAGUCACGAAAGUUGGUAACACCCGAAGCCCGGNGGCCUNAACCCCUUGUGGGAGGGAGCUGUCAAAGGUGGNACUGGCGAAUUG
rnacentral:rRNA from 1 species